rnacentral:misc_RNA from 1 species
AACAAUUAUGGAACCUAAUUAUGGGGAUUGUUUUGGCAAUGGUGUCCAUCUUUAUCCUGCAAAUAUCGAUGGGGUAUUUUCGGCAGUGGAAGAUGAGAAUGGAUUAAGACAUAUGUUACUUUGCAGAGUAAUAUUAGGAAAUACAGAAAUAAUUGAGGCUUCAUCCAAACAAUUUCAGCCAACUUGUCAAGAUUUUGACUCUGGGGUUGACAAUUAUCUGGCUCCUAAAACAUACAUUAUUUGGCCUUCUAAUAUGAAUUCUCAUAUUUUACCAAAUUUUCUAGUGAGUUUCAAGGGUCCAUUAUCAUUAGGUACCUCUUUGAAAAUCAAGAUUCCAUUGAAGCCUACACCACGUAUAAAAUUUUCAAAUCUAUUGCGUGUGCUUUCCAAUUUUUUACAUCCUUCAAGAAUGGUUUUGAUCACA